UGGAAGCAGAUAGAUGGGCUGGGAAGGAAAGACACCUGGGUCUUCCUAUUAAGCCACUUCCUGAAUGAAGGAACAUUCCUCAAUGGAAGCUGGUCCUGAGGAUCUGAGCCUGCUAGUGGUCAGGGCAGAUCCUGUGGCUUCCUUCUGGCCUCAGCAUCUUUCCUCUCUUCAUUGUGUCCUCAUCUACCCAGUCUACACCAGGACCCAUAAGUCACAGUCCUUUCUCCACUGUGUGCCUUCCACUUAGCUAAGUAGGAAGGGGAGGGGUAGAGAACUUAAAAAGCUGACCUAGUAACAUUCUUUUUGUUUCUGUGUUGAUAGGCGCAGUCCUUUGAACCAACAGAGAUGUUACCAGUGACAUUCCAAGCUGAGGGAUAUCAAGAUAUCUUGCAUUUGGGGACUUUAAAGAUCCCUCAGUUCCACCAACCACCAUUAACUGCCAUGCCUACACCCGGUUCUCAGUGUCCUGAAGACAUAGGCAUCAUCAAAUGGAGGUCCCAUCAAGAUUGGGAAAGAGAGGACAACCUGACGAGAUUGUUCCAGGAAGGCGGCCGGUGAAGAAGGAGAGACGCAUUGGGGUAAAUGGGCCAGGAAAGGCCUCAGAAAGCAGGAUUCAGAAGGACCGUGGGAAUUGAAAGCACAUGCAAAGAAAAAUAAAGAUUUGGGCUAGUGACCUACGCCCGGUUCUGUGUUGUGACGACACAGGCAUCGUCAAAAUAUGACCUCACAGACAGUGGAAACUGGAGCACUGGACGGCUUUGCUUUACUUCACUGUUCUUCGCUAACAACAGGCAUGUAGCGGUUUG
ensembl:lncRNA